GAGUUUGAUCGUGGCUCAGGACGAACGCUGGCGGCGUGCCUAAUACAUGCAAGUCGAGCGAAUCAUGAGGUGCUUGCACCUCUUGGUUAGCGGCGGACGGGUGAGUAACACGUGGGCAACCUGCCUGUAAGACUGGGAUAACUUCGGGAAACCGGAGCUAAUACCGGAUAAUCCUUUUCCUCUCAUGAGGAAAAGCUGAAAGUCGGUUUACGCUGACACUUACAGAUGGGCCCGCGGCGCAUUAGCUAGUUGGUGAGGUAACGGCUCACCAAGGCGACGAUGCGUAGCCGACCUGAGAGGGUGAUCGGCCACACUGGGACUGAGACACGGCCCAGACUCCUACGGGAGGCAGCAGUAGGGAAUCUUCCGCAAUGGACGAAAGUCUGACGGAGCAACGCCGCGUGAGCGAUGAAGGCCUU
rnacentral:rRNA from 1 species